GGUCUAUGANAGUGACGCACGGGUGCGUAACACGUAUGCACCUACCCUUUACAGGAGUAUAGCUCGGGGAAACUCGAAUUAAUGCUCCAUGAAAUAGUUGAAUGGCAUCAUUUGAUUAUUAAAGCUGAGGUGGUAAAGGAUGGGCAUGCGUCUGAUUAGCUAGUUGGUAGUGUAACGGACUACCAAGGUGAUGAUCAGUAGGGGAACUGAGAGGUUGAUCCCCCACACUGGCACUGAGAUACGGGCCAGACUCCUACGGGAGGCAGCAGUAGGGAAUAUUGGUCAAUGGGUGAGAGCCUGAACCAGCCAUGCCGCGUGCAGGAAGACGGCCUUCUGGGUUGUAAACUGCUUUUGCCAGGGGCUAAAAAGUCCAUGCGUGGAAAAUUGAAAGUACCUGGUGAAUAAGCCACGGCUAACUACGUGCCAGCAGCCGCGGUAAUACGUAGGUGGCAAGCGUUGUCUGGAUUUAUUGGGUUUAAAGGGUGCGUAGGCGGCUCUGUAAGUCAGUGCUGAAUAUCCCGGCUUAACUGGGANGGUGGCAUUGAUACUGUGGGGCUAGAGUACAGAUGAAGUAGGCGGAAUUGACGGUGUAGCGGUGAAGUGCUUAAAUAUCGUCAGGACACNUAUAGCCGAAGCAGCUUACUAGGCUGUACUGACGCUGAAGCCCAAAGUGUGGGGAUCAACAGGAUUAAAUACCUGGUAGCCCCCCUGUAACGUNGAUAACCCCUGUGUGC
rnacentral:rRNA from 1 species